GCAGCAAUUAAGAUCUGGC
rnacentral:piRNA from 1 species